rnacentral:misc_RNA from 1 species
AAGUCGUAACAAGGUAACCGUAGGUGAACCUGCGGUUGGAUCAUUAAAAAAUGUUUGGUCUUGUACCAAAUGAACACCUGUGUGCACCAAAUGACUGUUUUUGGUAGUUCGAGUUGCUCCUCGGGACUCAACACCCCGAAGUGCCUACCGCUGCCCGAUUUGGUGGACUGGUUUUACAACCUGGGCACCGUCAUUGGGCAACGUGCAGUUGGGCUACCGACCACUUGAACAAACAUUUUGAUUUUUUUGUCUGAACUUUUAAGAUUUAAUCUUUGAUGAUUAAUGAUUAAUUACCACUUUUGACAACGGAUCUCUUGGCUCUC